AGUUGCCAUCAUUAAGUUGGGCACUCUAAAGAGACUGCCGGUGUCAAACCGGAGGAAGGUGGGGAUGACGUCAAGUCCUCAUGGCCUUUAUGACCAGGGCUACACACGUACUACAAUGGCAGGUACAAAGGGCAGCCACUUAGCGAUAAGGCGCGAAUCCCAUAAACCUGUCUCAGUCCGGAUUGGAGUCUGCAACUCGACUCCAUGAAGUUGGAAUCGCUAGUAAUCGCAGAUCAGCACGCUGCGGUGAAUACGUUCCCGGGCCUU
rnacentral:rRNA from 1 species